rnacentral:rRNA from 1 species
UACAGAGGGUGCGAGCGUUUAAUCGGAAUUACUGGGCGUAAAGCGUGCGUAGACGGUUAUUUAAGUCGGGUGUGAAAGCCCCCGGCUCAACCGGGGAAGUGCAUCUGAAACUGGCGGGCUAGAGUACGAAAGAGGGUCGCGGAAUUCCCGGUGUAGAGGUGAAAUUCGUAGAUAUCGGGAGGAACACCGGUGGCGAAGGCGGCGACCUGGGUCGAUACUGACGCUGAGGUGCGAAAGCGUGGGGAGCAAACAGG